rnacentral:rRNA from 1 species
AGCCUACGGGGGGCAGCAGUAGGGAAUCUUCCACAAUGGGCGAAAGCCUGAUGGAGCAACGCCGCGUGGGUGAAGAAGGUCUUCGGAUCGUAAAACCCUGUUGUUAGAGAAGAAAGUGCGUGAGAGUAACUGUUCACGUUUCGACGGUAUCUAACCAGAAAGCCACGGCUAACUACGUGCCAGCAGCCGCGGUAAUACGUAGGUGGCAAGCGUUAUCCGGAUUUAUUGGGCGUAAAGAGAACGCAGGCGGUCUUUUACGGCUGAUGUGAAAGCCUUCGGCUUAACCGGAGUAGUGCAUGGGAAAA